rnacentral:miRNA from 1 species
GGCGUCCCCCUCAAGGGGCCCCCGACGUACUUGUGCAGGGCAUGUCCAGCGGGUCCAGGUCUGC